AUGGACGCCUUGCAACAAGGUGGAAUGGACCUCUUCUACGCCGCUAUGUUGGGCGAUGGCCGGAUCACCAAGCUUUGGAACUCGUCGUGGCUUCUUGCAGACAAGGCUAAGGCUAGCGAUGAUGUGCCCCUGAUUUCUGACAUCUCCACUGGCACGAGCCUCAUCGCGCGGGACGCUUUGCAUGACUUUGCUGGCGUGCUCGGGAAGAUUGACAUGGCUCGCUGCCUCUCAAUCAACCAAUUUCGUGCCCUUUGGGCAAGUCUGGAACAAGCUCAUUUCCAUGGGACGACCGACACCGUCAUGGUGCUGGCAGUUUGGGGGCAAUUGGGCACCUCCCAAGUGCAAAUACUUCGCUUGGCCCGUCCUCAAGAAUACAAUUUGGAAGGCUACCUGUUUGGAGAGAAGAGGGUGCAUCAGGAGACCAUCAACCAUAUUCUCCCCUCCUUCGUCCUGGUGAGGACAGUUUGUACAACGGUCAUCACCGCCCCUGGUCAUCCGGUGUGGAUACCCACUACUAGCAGCUCCAUUGUUGAAUGGUGCAAUGCAUGCCAUCGUAACAUGGACGCCAAAGAUGUGAGAACUUUGUUAGCGCUUGACUUGUGGACACCGUGGAAGCAUAGAAAUGCCGUGGUCUUUGAUGGGGCUACUCCACCGGCAAUUGUGAUGAUACGACAAAUUGAGGCGGAAGGAAGAGCAUGGAAGAUGGCCGGACUCAUUAGAGGCAACUAUGAUGGACUCUUUGAUGUGAACAUCGUGGUUCUUCACUUGACCGCCCGCCUGAACACGUCACCUCCACAGGAGAUCCAAGAGGAUGGCUAUGUCACUGCUGAUGCCUCUCUCCUGAGACUUGUCACUGCUGAUGUAAACACGCGCGAUUAG
rnacentral:rRNA from 1 species